rnacentral:rRNA from 1 species
GAUGAACGCUGGCGGCGUGCCUAAUACAUGCAAGUAGAACGCUGCAGGUGGAGCUUGCCCUUCUGGAUGAGUUGCGAACGGGUGAGUAACGCGUAGGCAACCUGCCUGGUAGCGGGGGAUAACUAUUGGAAACGAUAGCUAAUACCGCAUGACAACAGCUAUUGCAUGAUAACGGAUUAAAAGGGGCAACUGCUCGACUACCAGAUGGACCUGCGUUGUAUUAGCUAGGUGGUGAGGUAACGGCCCACCAAGGCGACGAUACAUAGCCGACCUGAGAGGGUGAUCGGCCACACUGGGACUGAGACACGGCCCAGACUCCUACGGGAGGCAGCAGUAGGGGAUCUUCGGCAAUGGACGGAAGGCUGACCGAGCAACGCCGCGUGAGUGAAGAAGGUUUUCGGAUCGUAAAGCUCUGUUGUAAGAGAAGAACGAGUGUGAGAGUGGAAAGUUCACACUGUGACGGUAGCUUACCAGAAAGGGACGGCUAACUACGUG